CCCACAUGUCGAAGCACGAUUUAGAGGCAUAACCGCAUUGAAAGCAAUGUCGCAAGUGAGGUAAUCUUCACACAACCCAAGUAAUACAUAAGGGGAAAGAGAUACAUAGUUGGCUUACAAUCGCCACUUCACACAAUUACAUGAAUAAAGCAUUACAUCAUCCAGAUACAAUCAAGGUCCGACUACGGAACCCAAAAUAAAAGAAGAACCCCAAAUGCGACAAAGGUCCCCGAUCGACCCCAACUGGGCUCCACUACUGAUCAACUAGAACGAAACAACACAAAGGGCAAGAUCUUCAUCGAGCUCCUCCUUGAGCUUGGUUGCGUCACCUGCUCGGUAACAUAGGCACCUGCAAACUGGUUUGGAAGUAUCUGGUGAGCCACGAGGACUCAGCAAUCUCGCACCCGCGAGAUCAAGACUAUUUAAGCUUAUGGGUAAGGUAAAGGCAUGAGGUGGAGCUGCAGCAAGCGACUAGCAUAUAUGGUGGCUAACAUACGCAAAUGAGAGCGAGAAGAGAAGGCAAAGCACGGUCGAUAAAGGUAUGAUCAAGAAGUGAUCCUAUAGCAACCUAUGUCAAGCAUAACUCCAACACCGUGUUCACUUCCCGGACUCCGCCGGAAAGAGACCAUCACGGUUACACACACGGUUGAUGUAUUUAAUUCGGAUCUGGUGUCAAGUUAUCUACAAUCGGACAUUAACAAAUUCCCAUCUGCCACAUAACCGCGGGCACGGCUCUCGAAAGUUUAUACCCUGCAGGGGUGUCCCAACUUAGCCCAUGACAAGCUCUCGCGAUCAUCGAAGGAAUAGACCUUCACCCGAGACACUCCGAUCAGACUCGGUAUCCCGGUACAUCAAGACAUUUCGACAAUGGUAAAACAAGACCAGCAAGACCUCCCGGCGUGCCGACAUCCUGAUAGUAGCCGCGCGUAUCUCGUCUCAGGCCACGACCGGAUGAACACUACGUACGGCAACCGACGAUACCCCAAGUUGCCUAGGGGCGGCACCACAAGUGGCUCUGGUUUGGACCAACACUUAGACAAGCAUUGGCCCGGGGGGGCUAAAAUAAAGAUGACCCUUGGGUUAAUUACUCCCAAGGGAAAAGUAGGUGGUGGUGAGGCAAAUGGUAAAAGUCAAUGUUGGGCCUUGCUGGACAAGUUUUAUUCAAAGCGAACUGUCAGGGGGGUCCCAUAAAUCACCCGACCGCGUAAGGAACGCAAAAUCCGAGAACAUAACACCGGUAUGACGGAAACUAGGGCGGCAAGAGUGGAACAAAACACCAGGCAUAAGGCCGAGCCUUCCACCCUUUACCAAGUAUAUAGAUGCAUUAAUAAUAUAAGAGAUAUUGUGAUAUCCCAACCAAAAUCCUGUCCACCAUGGAGAAAUCUUCAACUUCACCUGCAACUAGCAACACUAUAAGAGGGGCUGAGCAAAGUGGUAACAUAGCCAAACAACGGUUUGCUAGGAAUGGUGUCAAAGGUUAGAGGUUCAUGGCAAUAUGGGAUGGCUGACAAGCAAAUGAUAGGCAUCGUAGCAUUGGCAUAGCAAAAGAGCGAGCAAACUAGCAUAGCAAAGAUAGUAGUGAUUUCGAGGGUAUGGUCAUCUUGCCUGAAAUCCCGCAAGGAAGAAGAACGAGUCCAUGAAGAAGACAAACGGACAUCGAACGAAUCCUCACAACUCUGGAACGAAACCGAAGCUAACGAGAGAAGCAAACCGGAAAGAAACAAACAACAUGGUAAACACACAAGCAUAAACAUGUCAUGAUGCGCAAACAAAUAUGAUGCAUGUCCGGUUUAAUGAAGCAUGACAUGGCAAUAUGCACAAACAACACUACAAAUUAAGUGGAGCUCAAUAUGCAACGAGUUGCAUAUUGACGACACACCACAUCAAUUAUUUAGUUCCCUCUAGUUAUAAGCUACUCAACAACAUUAAAUAUUGGUUAACAUGGCAAGUGAUGAAGCAUAACAAAAACUAUACCAUCUAAACAAUUUUAAAUGGGGCCGGAUAUAAAAACAACAAAUCCGGUAAAUCCCCAUAUGCAUUUAGCAAUUUAAUGCAACAACAAGUUUAAUCAUUUUAAAUGUUGUUAUCAUGAUGGGGAUGACAUAAUCAAGGUUUAUGCAAUUUUUAUGAAAAUAUUGACAUGAGCAUGAAACGAGGCAUUAGUCGCCAUGGUGGAAGGAAAAAGGUGCCACGGCGGUGAAACGGAAAUGGUGCCAUGGCAACAUAUCCGAAAAUGAUGCCACGGCAACAUAUCCGAAAAUGAUGCCACGGCAACAUAUCCGAAAAUGAUGCCACGGCAACAUAUAGGUUAUCCGACAACUCAAGGAGAUAUCGGUGCAAAAGGAAGGCGUGCGGAUGCGUGCACGGAUGGUGGGGUGAUCCCGGAUUCCGGGUGUCCCACAUAAUGGUGGCAUGGAAACGAGUGACAAUUCGAACACGGUGCAACGGUGCAUCUCAUUCAACACAUGCAUUCGGGCCACGGCGGUCGUCUCGGGGUUAUACCUUUGAAGAGUGCGUUUUCGGAGCGGAACGAGUUCGAUGCGGUGUAGGUGGAAGUAGUGGUACACGGCGUCGGUAGAGGAAGUAGUCGUUCUCGGGUCGUCGUGGGAAGUAGUCGAACACGGCGUAGUGGAAGUCGUUGUUCACGUGGCGACGGUAGUUGUACACGGUCCAGGAGACGUCGAUCGUUCAGGGUCCGACUUGCGAGUCUUGUCGACAUGAGUGGUACUUGGCGAUGUUUCGAUGAAGCUCAAAUGAAGCACCCGCAACUAGAGGCAACUAGUGCCCCGGUGCCCUGGACGAUGGUCGAUGCACUAGGUUUUUGACGGACCCAUAGCAACGGUAGACGUACACGCAUACUUGGUGCAUCACUGGUCUUGGCAAUCUUGAAGAACUGAAAGGGCAUCGAGGGUCUUGCAAGGCUCUGCCUCGGGAGGUCACCGGGGACCGCUCGAGCUGCUGGAUGCUGGCGCAUGGCCGAGCAGCGGUUGGAAGAAGUGGGCGGCGUUAGCCUUGGCGCGCAGCAGGGAAGGCGGCUCCUGCUCGGAGAGGUACGGCGAGAGAAACCGCUUGUAGGCGCGAAGGAAGGCGGAGGAGCUUGGGCGCGGGACGGCGUCCUGGUGGCAUCGGCGCUCCUGCAGGCGUGGAGGACGACGACUGCAGGCGCGGAGCAGGGGAGCAGUAGAGGGACUAGGCGCGGGGAUGAACGGAUCCGGCUGAAGGCAUGGCCGACGGCGCGACUUGGAGCAGAUCGGGCGCGGGCGCUUGGGGCGCGGCGUAGCUAGAUGGCGCGGGCGACAGAGGAGGAGGCCACAGGUGGAGCCACUGGAGUUGGACAAGGAGGAGGCGGGAUGGCGCGGCAGCGGCCUGGUUCUGCGGGGGCUGGCGGCGGAUGCAGGCCACGAGGAGGAGGCGAAAGGGACGAUGAGGAGAAGCAGGAGGAGAUGGGAUCGAGAGAGAGGUCGGGCAGCGGUUCCCUGGCGGCGCUGGGUGGAAGGGAACGAGAGGGAGAGGGGGUGGAUCGGGACGAAGGGGUGGCGGCGCUGCACGGGGGGAGAUGGGGAUCGAUGGGAGAUGAGGGUCGGGCUAGCUAGGGUUUAGGUAGGCUGCGGGUCCAGAUGGGCCUGGGAGGUCCAAGAGGCCCAGGCUGUUGGGCUGCAGGGCUCUUUCCUUUAAGCAAUUUCUUCAAACAGAAAUGCAAGAAAAGGCCAAGGAGUUUGGCAAGGAAUUAGGAUGAGAUAAAAACAUAUGUGGGAUUCUGGAUUUAUGUAGAAUUUGAAUAAAUUGCUUUGGGAAUUUUUAGAGGUAUAAAAAUAAAACAAGUUUGAAUUAAAUUCAAACUUGAGCCAUUUUUGAACCCAACCAAAACAACUCCAAAAUGGAUGAUAUUUGACAGAGAGGUAUAAGGCAUGAAGUAAGAUCACCAGGAAAUAAAUGAACAUUAAUGGAGGCACAAAUAAUGCCACUUGGCAUGAAAGUCAAGAUUUGACAGAAAGGAAGAAGUGAUAAGGUUUGCACGUGGAGAAAGGUCUUGAUGAAAAGAUGAAGAUACAAAUGACCAUAGGAGGAGGGGAAGGGUGAUGCAAGGGGUGAUCAUGCAUGAAACACACAAUGCACAUGAUGAGCAUGAUGAAAUGCAACAUGAUGCAAGGAUGAAUGCAACGGACAAAACAAAUCACACGACAAAUCUCGGAAUAGCUGGACGUCUUCUGGAGCGUCGGUCUCGGGGCGUCACAACACUCCACCACUACAAGAGGAUCUCGUCCCGAGAUCUAGGAUGGCACCGGAGGGAAAACGGAAGAGGAAGAGAAGAGGUAAAACUAAGUUGCUUCUUUGACGAACGAGUGAAACCACGAACCUUGAGGGGUCGAACAAAAUGAAAGAAAGAAAACAAUGAAGAUGAACAAAGUUGAAAGCACUCUGUUAGAAGAGGAACAUGGGAUACGACGAGAACCAAGAGGUUUAGUGAUAAGAUAGAUAUUGAAACCACUCCGGUUAAAACUAGAUAGAGAAGGAGUAAGAAUGAUAUAAUUUGGGCAGCACUCCGACUGUAAAUGGAAGGAAUUGAACAUGAACUUGACAAGAUGAGAGGAUACUUGAUGAAAUCAACAACACACUGCAUCCGGAAUUAUUGAAAGAAUGGCAUAAAGGGUAAGAAGGAUUUCAGACAGCACUCUGGUUGAAAAGAGAGGCAAAACUUGAUAAAAUGAAAGAACUUGAAUGAGAACACAACACUCCGGUUGAAAGGAAAAGCAAGGAAAGAGCAUGAUCUUCACAAUUCGAGAUGAUGAGUGAAAAGAGCAACAUCACAAUUCCUCCGGAAGAAAGAAUAGAAGAUAGAUCAUUGGAAUAACAGAAUGGAGAAGAAAAUGCCAACUUCUACCACCAUUGAAUUUGGAAAACAUCUUUGCAAAGAAGAAUCGAACGGAGUUGUUGGAAAAUCAACAACAAAAAGAAUAAGCUUGUAGUGGGCUUAUGGCAAACAUCUCAAAAUGAUGAGGUGACAACCGGCCACUAAUGGAAACAAUUGAUUGGUUGAGAUCAAUGAAGAUAAGAGAAACUUCUUCCACCAAGUGAAUAGAGAGCAAGCUUGGGUCAUGCAUAAUCACCACAAAUAGCAACAACCCUUAAGGAAAGGAUUUAGGUGAAAUAUGACACAAAAUAACUCCAAUGAAGAGACUGAUGGAUUUAAAAUACCUCAUUCUUGACAACAAUAUGAAUCAUGAAACAUGAAGGAAAUUGUCAAGAAUGACAUAAGACCACGUCGAAAGAUAAGGUAGAAAGAAUUGCACUUCGAAAUGCAAGAAGAAGAAUACUUGAGCUCCUCAAAACAAAACAUGUGUUGAGCACCAUGCUUAAUUUUGAGUAUAGCUUGGCGGAUCAUAACUGCGAGAGAAAUCUUGAAGAACAAUUGAAGAAUGAAAAGAAUCCUUGAUGAACCACCAUUUAGAGCCUCCACGAAGAACUCCGGUAAUAGAAGGAUGAUAAAAAGAAAGAGAAGUUGAAAACACAAUGUGAAACCUUGCAGUGAUAAGAUGAAGCUUUGAAAUGAUAUAACCGAGAAAAAACUUGGAACCCGGAAAUAAAGAUGCACAACUGAAAUCAAGAAUUUUUGAUGGACCUCCGGAAUAAGGAAUUGAAUUUACUCGAUGAAACAAGAAUAAGAAUUACAUUAUGCUCAUCCUUCACCAAUUAAAUUGAUGACAAGCAAUGGAUUUGGCAUACUACUUAUUCUCGUAGAAAGGAUUAAGAGAGAUAUGGCGUAAACUUGGGAAGGUCUUCAACGAACCACCGGUAGGAUUUGGAAACAACGAAUGAAUAGAUGCGGUAGCAAAGGAAGAGGGAUCUCGAACGAACCACCAUAAGAAUUGAAAAUGAAAGUAACAAAGGCACAAUUCAUCGGGAAUAAUUGGAAAAUGAAUGAAGAUACUUGAGGGGGUUUAAAUACAUGAGAACGAAGAGAACAUGAACUGAUUAGAGGAUAUUUUAACGAUUCAUUGAUAAGAUUUGGAGAACGAUAGCUACACGUUGAGAAUGAAGAAUUAUGACAUGAUGGCCUUCGGAGGAAAGAAAUGGAAACAACUCAUGAAAUGCUCCAGAUGGUAAGAAAAUAAUUUUCACAAUCAAAACAAUUAUGAGGAUAGCAUGAAGCUAGAACCAUGAAUCUUCAAGAGAACGGACCAAGAUUUAAGAGAUAAACUCUCCUUCGGUCUUCAAAAGACGAUGAGGAACGCCACCAAAAUUUAUUGAGAUACUCCGGUAGAAUGGAAAAAACAAAGAAGUUGAGACCACAAAGAAAAAUUAUUUGAAAUCGAUCUUGGAAAGGCAUGUGACUGAUGAAAAUUCAUUCUUACGUCACACUCUGAAAAGAUUGAGAAUAACUCCGGAAGAAUUAGAAGAGUCAGGUAAGAUCCUGGGAAAAGACCUGUGGGUUAGGGCCCACUCAAAAGAAAACACCGUUGAACAAUUGAUUGAAAGAGGGGAUUGCACCGGUUGAAUUAAAUGACUUGAAUGAGAUAAGAACCUCGAAAUAUCUUGAAGGGAUUGAGAAUGGAAACACAAGUCUUCGGAGAUAUCUUGAGCACUUCAGGAAAAAAUGAAUAGCGAUAAGUGAGCGAUUGAGAGGUGCGCCGGCAUGGGAAAGCAUUUGAAACGAGGAAAGGAAUAUGAUGAAUAUUGAAAGCUUGAAUUGUUUCCACCGGAGAAGAAACAACAAUGAAGGAUGAUGAACUUGAAGCUCGUGAGCAUCUUCACGAGGGAUCACCGGAUCAGAACAUUGAUUGAAAAGAAUGAAGAGACUUCACAUGAAUAAAUGGAUACUUGAUUAAGAAAUCUGUGUCCUUGAAGAAAAAGGGUGGGAGGGCGGGAAAACAAAGGCAACUUGGGACGAACGAAACAAACACCGUUGAAAAAACUUAGAAUUGAUCUUGCGGAUGGGGAAAAUGAUGGGAUCAUCUCGAAGAGAAGCGCACCGGUUGGAAAAGAAUUAACAUGACAACCUCAAUGAUCAAAAAGGAUUAGUAUUCACAUAGCAAUAUGAGAACACCGUUUAGGAAAGGUAUGGAUUCAAUAUUUGACAUUGAAGCAACUCGAGUACCACAACUCAAAACAAAACAAAGGAUUUGGCUUGCAGAAUAAGCCGGAACAAACAUAUGAUAGAGAUUUACCCAAUCCCAUAUCAUGCAUCUGUCGGAAAGAUAUUCUAGGAGCUACUUGAAUUCCCACCUAUAAACUCCCGAAACUUUCUGGUUAUGCAAUCUGGUGUUGGGGAUACAGGGGAAGCAAUAUAUCUCACCCAAACUAACAAUACCUACAUCCAAGCUGUAUCCAUCCGUCAACACAUAACCAAGAAACCUUCGGAAAUCGUGUACCUCAACCUUCGAAAAGCAUCCGUUAUACGAGUCAUGGCAAUACUCCCGUACUCACCUCAGUACUGGGUUAGCGGGGUUAUCUCACCAACAACUGCAUAAAAGAGAUUUUCGAUGUCGGCGUACUAAACUCAGGUAUUCCAGAACUGCAACGAUAAAAUUAUGACGACAACACCUCAGAGCUCAACUCCCCGGGACACCUCCACUAAAAAAACCCUGCUGACGGGAGGCACCAAGACAAUGUUGUCAUCAUAAACCAUCGGAACGAUUCUAAGAUACCCGCGUGAUCCUAAAAUUUUUUUUAGUGAAAUUUGAGAAGAGAAGAGUCAAAACUCUACGUCAGGAGACCUCACCAGAGCGACGAAGGGACUGAGGAGUAAAAAGAAUUCCUAACUCUCCGAUAUAUAUAAUCCUAAAUGACUCAAAACAUUUUUCUAGACACAACUCGGCCGCUAAAAACGAUCAAGCAGUGGGGCUCCUAAGGUCGGGGAUGGCUCUGAUUACCAACUUAUAACGCCCUCGAUGCGGCUAUAUCUCCCACGUGUCGAAGCACGACUUAGAGGCAUAACCGCAUUGAAAGCAAUGUCGCAAGUGAGGUAAUCUUCACACAACCCAAGUAAUACAUAAGGGGAAAGAGAUACAUAGUUGGCUUACAAUCGUCACUUCACACAAUUACAUGAAUAAAGCAUUACAUCAUCCAGAUACAAUCAAGGUCCGACUACGGAACCCAAAAUAAAAGAAGAACCCCAAAUGCGACAAAGGUCCCCGAUCGACCCCAACUGGGCUCCACUACUGAUCAACUAGAACGAAACAACACAAAGGGCAAGAUCUUCAUCGAGCUCCUCCUUGAGCUUGGUUGCGUCACCUGCUCGGUAACAUAGGCACCUGCAAACUGGUUUGGAAGUAUCUGGUGAGCCACGAGGACUCAGCAAUCUCGCACCCGCGAGAUCAAGACUAUUUAAGCUUAUGGGUAAGGUAAAGGCAUGAGGUGGAGCUGCAGCAAGCGACUAGCAUAUAUGGUGGCUAACAUACGCAAAUGAGAGCGAGAAGAGAAGGCAAAGCACGGUCGAUAAAGGUAUGAUCAAGAAGUGAUCCUAUAGCAACCUAUGUCAAGCAUAACUCCAACACCGUGUUCACUUCCCGGACUCCGCCGGAAAGAGACCAUCACGGUUACACACACGGUUGAUGUAUUUAAUUCGGAUCUGGUGUCAAGUUAUCUACAAUCGGACAUUAACAAAUUCCCAUCUGCCACAUAACCGCGGGCACGGCUCUCGAAAGUUUAUACCCUGCAGGAGUGUCCCAACUUAGCCCAUGACAAGCUCUCGCGAUCAUCGAAGGAAUAGACCUUCACCCGAACACUCCGAUCAGACUCGGUAUCCCGGUACAUCAAGACAUUUCGACAAUGGUAAAACAAGACCAGCAAGACCUCCCGGCGUGCCGACAUCCUGAUAGUAGCCGCGCGUAUCUCGUCUCAGGCCACGACCGGAUGAACACUACGUACGGCAACCGACGAUACCCCAAGUUGCCUAGGGGCGGCACCGCAAGUGGCUCUGGUUUGGACCAACACUUAGACAAGCAUUGGCCCGGGGGGGCUAAAAUAAAGAUGACCCUUGGGUUAAUUACUCCCAAGGGAAAAGUAGGUGGUGGUGAGGCAAAUGGUAAAAGUCAAUGUUGGGCCUUGCUGGACAAGUUUUAUUCAAAGCGAACUGUCAGGGGGGUCCCAUAAAUCACCCAACCGCGUAAGGAACGCAAAAUCCGGGAACAUAACACCGAUAUGACGGAAACUAGGGCGGCAAGAGUGGAACGAAACACCAGGCAUAAGGCCGAGCCUUCCACCCUUUACCAAGUAUAUAGAUGCAUUAAUAAUAUAAGAGAUAUUGUGAUAUCCCAACCAAAAUCCUGUCCACCAUGGAGAAAUCUUCAACUUCACCUGCAACUAGCAACGCUAUAAGAGGGGCUGAGCAAAGUGGUAACAUAGCCAAACAACGGUUUGCUAGGAAUGGUGUCAAAGGUUAGAGGUUCAUGGCAAUAUGGGAUGGCUGACAAGCAAAUGAUAGGCAUCGUAGCAUUGGCAUAGCAAAAGAGCGAGCAAACUAGCAUAGCAAAGAUAGUAGUGAUUUCGAGGGUAUGGUCAUCUUGCCUGAAAUCCCGCAAGGAAGAAGAACGAGUCCAUGAAGAAGACAAACGUACAUCAAACGAAUCCUCACAACUCCGGAACGAAACCGAAGCUAACGAGAGAAGCAAACCGGAAAGAAACAAACAACAUGGUAAACACACAAGCAUAAACAUGUCAUGAUGCGCAAACAAAUAUGAUGCAUGUCCGGUUUAAUGAAGCAUGACAUGGCAAUAUGCACAAACAACACUACAAAUUAAGUGGAGCUCAAUAUGCAACGAGUUGCAUAUUGAUGACACACCACAUCAAUUAUUUAGUUCCCUCUAGUUAUAAGCUACUCAACAACAUUAAAUAUUGGUUAACAUGGCAAGUGAUGAAGCAUAACAAAAACUAUACCAUCUAAACAAUUUUAAAUGGGGCCGGAUAUAAAAACAACAAAUCCGGUAAAUCCCCAUAUGCAUUUAGCAAUUUAAUGCAACAACAAGUUUAAUCAUUUUAAAUGUUGUUAUCAUGAUGCGGAUGACAUAAUCAAGGUUUAUGCAAUUUUUAUGAAAAUGUUGACAUGAGCAUGAAACGAGGCAUUAGUCGCCAUGGCGGAAGGAAAAAGGUGCCACGGCGGUGAAACGGAAAUGGUGCCACGGCAACAUAUCCGAAAAUGAUGCCACGACAACAUAUCCGAAAAUGAUGCCACGGCAACAUAUCCGAAAAUGAUGCCACGGCAACAUAUCCGAAAAUGAUGCCACGGCAACAUAUAGGUUAUCCGACAACUCAAGGAGAUAUCGGUGCAAAAGGAAGGUGUGCGGAUGCGUGCACGGAUGGUGGGGUGAUCUCGGAUUCCGGGUGUCCCACAUAAUGGUGGCAUGGAAACGAGUGACAAUUCGAACACGGUGCAAACGGUGCAUCUCAUUCAACACAUGCAUUCGGGCCACGGCGGUCGUCUCGGGGUUAUACCUUUGAAGAGUGCGUUUUCGGAGCGGAACGAGUUCGAUGCAGUGUAGGUGGAAGUAGUGGUACACGGCGUCGGUAGAGGAAGUAGUCGUUCUCGGGUCGUCGUGGGAAGUAGUCGAACACGGCGUAGUGGAAGUCGUUGUUCACGUGGCGACGGUAGUUGUACACGGUCCAGGAGACGUCGAUCGUUCAGGGUCCGACUUGCGAGUCUUGCUGACAUGAGUGGUACUUGGCGAUGUUUCGAUGAGGCUCAAACGAAGCACCCGCAACUAGAGGCAACUAGUGCCCCGGUGCCCUGGACGACGACUGCAGGCGCGGAGAAGGGGAGCAGCAGAGGGACUAGGCGUGGGGAUGAACGGAUCCGGCUGAAGGCAUGGCCGACGGCGCGGCUUGGAGCAGAUCGGGCGCGGGCGCUUGGGGCGCGGCGCAGCUGGAUGGCGCGGGCGACAGAGGAGGAGAACACAGGUGGAGCCACUGGAGUUGGACAAGGAGGAAGCGGGAUGGCGCGGCAGCGGCCUGGUUCUGCGGGGGCUGGCGGCGGAUGCAGGCCACGAGGAGGAGGCGAAAGGGACGAUGAGGAGAAGCAGGAGGAGAUGGGAUCGAGAGAGAGGUCGGGCAGCGGUUCCCUGGCGGCGCUGGGUGGAAGGGAACGAGAGGGAGAGGGGGUGGAUCGGGACGAAGGGGUGGCGGCGCUGCACGGGGGGAGAUGGGGAUCGAUG
rnacentral:lncRNA from 1 species